GAGGCUGGAGGAGAAGCAGAAGGUGGAGGAGCGACGGUGAGGAUGGAAGUGGACUUCCAUGGGAGCAAUGACAACCUACAAAAAGGCCUCUCUUUCCUUCUGGGAAAUUAAAGUCUCUGUCGAUGAAGGACUUUACGGCGCGGACUCUAAAAAGGAUAUUAUGUGGCAUCAUGACAAGUGUUGACGUCAACAGCAUGGAUAGGUGGUCUGUUCCUGUCUUUGGUUAUCUAGCUGUAUGAGUAUUAAAUACCUGUCAUAAAGCUAGAUAACCGAAUGUAGGAAUGACUUCCUUUAAAAUUGAAGCGGGUGAAAAAAAUGCAAAAAUAAAUGUGCUUUGGUGUCAAGGAUUUUCAAUUAGCGCCAUUCUUCCUGUAAAAGACAGAAGCAUUGUUCGAGGGGGUAAAAACGAGGACGGGGUCGCCUGCUCUGGGAUGCCAUCUGCGCCGCCAGCGAGAGACGGCGUGCCCAUGCCAGACGGCACACAAAGGCCUUGGCCCGUCGUCACGUUCUGGAGCCAUCUUGGGAGAUGUUGCUGGGAUAUCCAAAAUGGCUGGUGCUGACAUACAAGGAUGGAGAUGGCAAGCUGUGAAACUUCAGCCUGCAGACCUUGGACUAAACGCAUCAAAAAUCAUCACACAAUUAAUUGUCCAAUCAAUGUCCACAUUUUUUAUUUUACAUUUUAAUAAACAUGUUCCUUGUUUUUUUCCCUGCCUUUUAUUUUGUCAGUUUCUGUUUUUGUUUCUGCUUUUGUUUCCGGUUCCUACUCCUGCUGGUGUUGGGCGGAGUCUCACCUGUUACUAUUUGCAAUUUGUUUUCAGCCGUGCCGUUUAUAUUUUUUUAUAAUUGCCAGCUGAUGGAGUAUUUCUUCAAUUUUCCAUUGGAUUAAUAGUUAUUUUUGACUUCUACAUUUUCAUGCCUUAUUGAACCAGUACUGCCACCAAGAGGACAAUAAAUGCAACAACAAUAGGCAGCAGAAUUUGCACAUUUUCUGAUCAAAUACGUGGCAACACCUGAGAUGAGGCUGAUUGUAAGUAAGUAAAGGAAAGUCAGACAUUUGGCUCACUAACCUCCCAGUAGACUUCAUCGUCAAAGCAAUUGUCAUCAGCUGGAUCGCCCCAGAUAGUGUCCACGUACCAACCAUGAUGCCUCCACCUACACCAAAGCAGACGGCCACACAUAUGCCCGCGGCCUGGUGACCCCCCUGCCUCGUCGGUGUCAUGUCUUCAAAGUCACCAUCAAAGUCAAAGACUCGGACGCGGCUGCAGCAGUAAUGGCUCCCACAAUGCCACCGAUAAGACCAGGCAUGGCGUGAAGGUUGUGGAUUCCACACGUGUCCUGGAUCUUUAGGUGCUUCUCCAUGAAGGGCUACACAAGAAACAUUACAUCAGGACUAGACUAUAAAACAUUCCAAACAAGAUGUAAAAAAAAAAAAUAAAAAGCAGUGGUACUUCAAGUUCACAGGGAUGUAACGAUAGGAAAUAACACAAAUUAAUAGGCACAUUGUUAGAAAACCCACUAGUUUGGAUAUUUUUUGUUUUUUAUGCUUCACUGAUCAUGUUUAAGUCUUAUUAUUUAAUCAGUUUUUAUGUAAAAAGUGAACAACAAAUAAAAUAUAUUAUUAUUA